GUGAAUUGUCCCACCUCCAUUAGCCUCAUCUUCCUUAUCUGUAAAACAUCAGUCAUAAUAUCUACCUCACAGAGGGCUGAUAAGAAUACCAAAUGCUGUAAAUUAGAGGCUCUGAGUAAGUUGGCUGCCUGCUCCUCUAUCCGUCUGAGCUGGCUUUUUAGAUAUCAUUGUGCCUGUCUGGCCCUGACUCAUGACCCUGCUUCGCACCGUGGCCUCAGGAUGCCACACCACCUGAGGCCGGGCCCCGUCCCUGUGGACAGACUUCCCCGAAGAUCACGGCCCACCUGCUGCCCAAAAUGUGCACCCGUUUGCAUAUGAUUGAGAACAACAGAAACAGAUUCCAGAUAACUUAAAAGAGGGGGAAAUGGACCGGUAGGAUGUAGAAUUGCUCAAGAACAGAAGAAAAGAUGGACGACUGGGCCUCACCAUGGGAGCCAGGCAGGAAGCAGACAGCAACUCAAGGGCGCUCUCUUCGCAUCGAAGACUCCAAUUGCUUUCCAUUCUUACAUCACUCCCUGAAAAAUUCUGGGACCCAGGAGAGAGAAAAUGAUGGCCAAGCUUGUGUUGCAGUGGGCAGGGUUGGUCCUGAAAGAAAAACCAAGGGACUACCACCAAAGAAG
rnacentral:lncRNA from 1 species